rnacentral:rRNA from 1 species
UACGUAGGGGGCAAGCGUUGUCCGGAAUCAUUGGGCGUAAAGCGCGUGUAGGCGGCCCGGUAAGUCCGCUGUGAAAGUCGGGGGCUCAACCCUCGAAUGCCGGUGGAUACUGUCGGGCUCGAAUCCGGAAGAGGUGAGUGGAAUUCCUGGUGUAGCGGUGAAAUGCGCAGAUAUCAGGAGGAACACCAAUGGCGAAGGCAGCUCACUGGGACGGUAUUGACGCUGAGACGCAAAAGCGUGGGGAGCGAACAGG